rnacentral:rRNA from 1 species
AUUGAACGCUGGCGGCAUGCUUUACACAUGCAAGUCGAACGGCAGAGCGGGGUUCGGCCUGGCGGUGAGUGGCGAACGGGUGAGUAAUGCAUCGGAACGUGCCCAGUAGUGGGGGAUAGCCCGGCGAAAGCCGGAUUAAUACCGCAUACGACCUGAGGGUGAAAGCGGGGGACCGUAAGGCCUCGCGCUAUUGGAUCGGCCGAUGUCGGAUUAGCUAGUUGGUGGGGUAAAGGCUUACCAAGGCGCCGAUCCGUACCUGGUCUGAGAGGACGACCAGCCACACUGGGACUGGGACACGGCCCAGACUCCUCCGGGGGGCGCAGUAGGGGAAUUUUGGACAAUGGGGGCAACCCUGAUCCAGCCAGGCGGCGGGCGGGAGAAGGGCCUCCGGGUUUUAAACCGCUUUUGAAGGGGAGAAAAAGCUCUGGACUAAAACCCCGGGGGGAUGACGGUACCGGAAGAGUAAGCACCGGCUAACUACGUG